CGCGCUCAUACGCAUCAAUCGGGAUCCAUCGCCAAAUGGGUGACCCGGAGUUGGAGAUGCGGCCGCGUUCAUCACCAAGCCGCAACUCUGACCCUCCAUAGCUAGCACGAGACAAGAUGAUUCCUUUAGACUACUGCUAGAUUGGACCCAAAGACUUAGCUGGACAGGGUCGAAGUACACGAAAAACGCACAUAGUUUAGAGAGUUCAACUACCAUGGUAGCAAUGGACUCAACUCUGCUGGAUUGCUACAUUUUACUUUAGUUGCAUUUGAUGGAUAUUUGAUAUGAGAAUUAUGAUUUGUAUGAACCUACAUAUUAUACGUGUGGAUUUGAAUUUUGUAAUUCAAUGGUUGUAUUUUUUUAUGAUUGCGAUAAGCUGUUUCCACAACUCA